rnacentral:rRNA from 1 species
AACGAACGCUGGCGGCAUGCCUAACACAUGCAAGUCGAACGAUGCUUUCGGGCAUAGUGGCGCACGGGUGCGUAACGCGUGGGAAUCUGCCCUUGGGUUCGGAAUAACAGUGAGAAAUUGCUGCUAAUACCGGAUGAUGUCUUCGGACCAAAGAUUUAUCGCCCAGGGAUGAGCCCGCGUAGGAUUAGCUAGUUGGUGGGGUAAUGGCCUACCAAGGCGACGAUCCUUAGCUGGUCUGAGAGGAUGAUCAGCCACACUGGGACUGAGACACGGCCCAGACUCCUACGGGAGGGAGCAGUGGGGAAUAUUGGACAAUGGGCGCAAGCCUGAUCCAGCAAUGCCGCGUGAGUGAUGAAGGCCUUAGGGUUGUAAAGCUCUUUUACCCGGGAUGAUAAUGACAGUACCGGGAGAAUAAGCUCCGGCUAACUCCGUG